AUACGGAGGAUCCGAGCGUUAUCCGGAUUUAUUGGGUUUAAAGGGAGCGUGGGCGGACGCUUAAGUCAGUUGUGAAAGUUUGCGGCUCAACCGUAAAAUUGCAGUUGAUACUGGGUGUCUUGAGUACAGUAGAGGCAGGCGGAAUUCGUGGGGUAGCGGUGAAAUGCUUAGAUAUCACGAAGAACUCCGAUUGCGAAGGCAGCCUGCUGGACUGUAACUGACGCUGAUGCUCGAAAGUGUGGGUAUCAAACAGGAUUAGAUACCCUGGUAGUCCACACAGUAAACGAUGAAUACUCGCUGUUUGCGAUAUACAGUAAGCGGCCAAGCGAAAGCAUUAAGUAUUCCACCUGGGGAGUACGCCGGCAACGGUGAAACUCAAAUGAAUUGACGGGG
rnacentral:rRNA from 1 species